rnacentral:tRNA from 1 species
CAAAAUGUAGCUAAUUUAGUAAAGCACCUCCCUUACACUGAGGAAAAGCCCGUGCAAUUCGAGUCAUUCUGA